rnacentral:rRNA from 1 species
AGUGAACGCUGGCGGUAGGCCUAACACAUGCAAGUCGAACGGCAGCACAGUAAGAGCUUGCUCUUACGGGUGGCGAGUGGCGGACGGGUGAGGAAUACAUCGGAAUCUACUUUUUCGUGGGGGAUAACGUAGGGAAACUUACGCUAAUACCGCAUACGACCUACGGGUGAAAGCAGGGGAUCUUCGGACCUUGCGCGAUUGAAUGAGCCGAUGUCGGAUUAGCUAGUUGGCGGGGUAAAGGCCCACCAAGGCGACGAUCCGUAGCUGGUCUGAGAGGAUGAUCAGCCACACUGGAACCGAGACACGGUCCAGACUCCUACGGGAGGCAGCAGUGGGGAAUAUUGGACAAUGGGCGCAAGCCUGAUCCAGCCAUCCCGCGUGGGUGAAGAAGGCCUUCGGGUUGUAAAGCCCUUUUGUUGGGAAAGAAAAGCAGCAGGUUAAUACCCCGCUGUUCUGACGGUACCCAAAGAAUAAGCACCGGCUAACUUCGU